rnacentral:tRNA from 1 species
GCCUGGGUGGCUCAGUCUGUUAAGCAUCUGACUUCAGCUCAGGUCAUGAUCUCACAGCUUGUGAGUUCAAGUCCCAUGCCAGGUU